ensembl:snoRNA
CGACUUCUGUGAUGAAGCCCUAGAAUAAGCAUUAAUCACAGAGCUUGAAUCAUUCCUUGUUACCUUCCUUCCAAGAGGAAA